AUCGGGUAGAGCGGGUAUGGGUAU
rnacentral:miRNA from 1 species